rnacentral:rRNA from 1 species
AGUGAACGCUGGCGGUAGGCCUAACACAUGCAAGUCGAACGGCAGCACAGUAAGAGCUUGCUCUUACGGGUGGCGAGUGGCGGACGGGUGAGGAAUACAUCGGAAUCUACUUUUUCGUGGGGGAUAACGUAGGGAAACUUACGCUAAUACCGCAUACGACCUACGGGUGAAAGCAGGGGAUCUUCGGACCUUGCGCGAUUGAAUGAGCCGAUGUCGGAUUAGCUAGUUGGCGGGGUAAAGGCCCACCAAGGCGACGAUCCGUAGCUGGUCUGAGAGGAUGAUCAGCCAACCUGGAACUGAGACACGGUCCAGACUCCUACGGGAGGCAGCAGUGGGGAAUAUUGGACAAUGGGCGCAAGCCUGAUCCAGCCAUACCGCGUGGGUGAAGAAGGCCUUCGGGUUGUAAAGCCCUUUUGUUGGGAAAGAAAAGCAGCAGGUUAAUACCCCGCUGUUCUGACGGUACCCAAAGAAUAAGCACCGGCUAACUUCGU